GACGAACGCUGGCGGCGUGCCUAAUACAUGCAAGUCGAGCGAGUCUGCCUUGAAGAUCGGAGUGCUUGCACUCUGUGAAACAAGAUACAGGCUAGCGGCGGACGGGUGAGUAACACGUGGGUAACCUGCCCAAGAGAUCGGGAUAACACCUGGAAACAGAUGCUAAUACCGGAUAACAACAGAUGAUGCCUAUCAACUGUUUAAAAGAUGGUUCUGCUAUCACUCUUGGAUGGACCUGCGGUGCAUUAGCUAGUUGGUAGGGUAACGGCCUACCAAGGCGAGGAUGCAUAGCCGAGUUGAGAGACUGAUCGGCCACAUUGGGACUGAGACACGGCCCAAACUCCUACGGGAGGCAGCAGUAGGGAAUCUUCCACAAUGGACGCAAGUCUGAUGGAGCAACGCCGCGUGAGUGAAGAAGGGUUUCGGCUCGUAAAGCUCUGUUGUUGGUGAAGAAGGACAGGGGUAGUAACUGACCUUUGUUUGACGGUAAUCAAUUAGAAAGUCACGGCUAACUACGUG
rnacentral:rRNA from 1 species